GACGAACGCUGGCGGCGUGCUUAACACAUGCAAGUCGAACGGAAAGGCCUGCUUUCCCUUGUGGAUUGCGGGUACUCGAGUGGCGAACGGGUGAGUAACACGUGAGUGAUCUGCCCCCAACUUGGGUAUAAGCCUGGGAAACUGGGUCUAAUUCCCGAUAGGACUGCAGGGUGGUGCCUGUGGUGGAAAACGAUUUUCUAGUGGUUGGGGAUGAGCUCGCGGCCUAUCAGCUUGUGGGUGGGGUAAUGGCCUACCAAGGCGGCGACGGGUAGCCGGCCUGGGAGGGUGGACGGCCACAUGUGGACGGAGACACGGCCCAGACGCCUACGGGAGGCAGCAGUGGGGAGGAAUGCGCAGUGGGCGGAAGCCUAAUGCAGCGACGCCGCGUGGGGGAUGACGGGCUUCGGGUUGUAGACUCCUGGCGACCGCGAGGAAGCCACCUGGUUGGAAGGGUGGUGACGGUAGUGGUAGAAGAAGCACCGGCUAACUACGUG
rnacentral:rRNA from 1 species